rnacentral:rRNA from 1 species
AUGGAAUUUUUGUGGUUUGCAUUUGCUGUCCUCACCCAGUGCUCUGUUUUUGCAUCUUUUGGUGGGCUCCGCGAUCCGUAUAGUUGUGGCUUGCUCUCAAAGAUCACUAGUGCACUUGCGAACCGGCUUUUCUUGACUGUAUCCAUUGCAAAGGCUGGAAGCAUUGCAUCCUUGAAGUUCUUCUGUGACAAUUGCUGCAGUUUACAAGCAGAACACAAAAUAAUGAAGAUAAAGAAACCACCAAACAUCCUGGCAAUUCAUCUGAAGCACUUCAAGUACAACAAUUUGUCUUCGGGUGGUGAGCACAAUAUCCUGUUUUGGCGGUUCUUUCAGAAUGGUUUUCAAAAAGUAUUCCCUGCUGCUAUAUCAUCAAUCGAGCUGCAACUAAGGGGUAAACUCUCAGGCCAUCCGAGUAGCAUUGCAGAGAAUGAUAUGUGCAAUCAUGACACCAUGUGGUGCAUGGAUGAUAUUUUUCCGAGGCUUAAGAGAGGUUGCCUUGAUAAUCAAUGCAUGGAGCACGCACAUUCAAAAUUUGACGCUCUUGUCCUGAACGACACAAAACUGGAAUUUGUCGGUACAUCCCGUUGGGGAGCUUGUUUCUUUGAAGUUGAUUCAAGGUGGAGUUCCCUUUCUUGGAAGUAA